rnacentral:rRNA from 1 species
GACAGAGGGUGCAAGCGUUAUCCGGAAUGAUUGGGCGUAAAGCGUCUGUAGGUGGCUUUUUAAGUCUGCCGUCAAAUCCCAGGGCUUAACCCUGGACAGGCGGGGGAAACUACCAAGCUGGAGUACGGUAGGGGCAGGGGGAAUUUCCGGUGGAGCGGUGAAAUGCGUAGAGAUCGGAAAGAACACCAACGGCGAAAGCACUCUGCUGGGCCGACACUGACACUGAGAGACGAAAGCUAGGGGAGCGAAUGGG